rnacentral:rRNA from 1 species
GAGGGGGCGGUCGGUGAGAGAGCGGUAAAAAAAGGUAGAAACGGUUGUAUAUCGUGACGGCCGAUCUAGAAGCUGGUAGAGAAAAGGUUCGGUGAGUAUCAUACGUGGAGCAAGGUAUAAGACAACUCGAAAGAUGAAGGGCAUACUUCUUUCCGUCUCCCGGAACAACUCUGACACGAGAGCAGUCUCAACUCUAAAAGGAACCACCUCUACCUAUAAGACCAUAUAAUUAAGACCCGCUUCUACCUUUUGUAACUUCCACGGAGGCGUAGGAGACCCGGCCGCUAGCUACUAGGACUAAGACGAAGAUAACUCCGUCGCUACCCUCAAGGACAUUGACAAUACAACCCCGGGUACACGUGGGAAGAGGUCUUUGAGGUAAGCGCUUACCGAGGACCUGUCUCAUACCGCGGUCUAGACGAGCCGAACUUUCUUCAGAAAGAAGAGUCACUAUCGGAGGUCCUUUAUACGUAGAGGGAAUUCUUAUACAGACUGCUCCUGGGAUCGAAGUACCAAGUCACCACCCACUUUUAUCAAGCGCUUGAAACGAUACUGUGCCUUCUAGUGGACCUGCUCCAGAUGAUGCGGCCCUGGGUAGUACUAAAAAGUCUUAAUGAACGAGCACACCUCCUAAACUCACUUUCGGCGUUUACAAACCUCACCAGAGGAGCAUCCUGAUAGCUUGGUCGACUGGACCCCUUUUGGUUACAGUCGGCGGCGUGAAGGGAGGUCGACGUCCAAGGGGAGGGACAGGUACACCUCGGCGGUUUAUUAGAACAUCUCGACGAGCUAAAUCUGUUGUUGCUCUUCCGUGAGUUCCACUAUGGAUAUGUACCUACACGUCCACAACCUUUCUGUUGUCGACGGUCUCGUAACAUAGUGUCCUUACGUCCCUCUAAAGUCACGGCCCGAAAACAUUGACACAGUGCCUUAGGUCUAUACUCCCCCAAAGAGUGGUCGUACGAAAGCGUUGAAUUACGUGGUGUUGGGGUACCAAAAGGACUACACGUACUGGAAUAACUACGAUAGUCGCUUGUAGACGUUACGUUUUCUAUGAAGUAGCAUUAACUACUAAAUACCUGAAGUAAUCAUACCUUAUAAUAAUCGGCACGAAAAGAUGCUACACUAAGAACGUCAUCUUAUUAUUGUUGUUGGGUUUAACUACUACAUCGUAACCGUACGUCGUCAAUACUGAGUUUUAUAUAUAUAUUCUACCUUGGAGAAUUACUAGUACUCAGAUCUUUCAAUAAGAAACCAUCUCACAAACCGAGACUUCUACUAACGGGUUAUCUAUACUUCCUUCAAAGUAUACUAUAAUAAUUCUUCACGUCACCAGACGGUAAUCGUUAACAUUUAUAUUGGUCAGACAAUCGUUCACUUAGUUGGCUGGAUUCCCUUUACACCCUCGUGUAUGUUCUAAGCAACGGCAGGUGAAGUCCUCUGUCGUAUCUACGAGGACUAGAAAACACGUCGUACGAAGGCGUGAAGGACAUGUUGUCGGAAGGUGGAACAAACUCCAGUACGAACGAUAUAGAAUCAUACAUAAGUCUCCCGGUCCACUAGUUGUUCCUACUCAACCGCUUCGACACCCGUCAACUUCCAAAAGAGUCACGACAACCUCCCGCUCUGUGUGUUCUUUAACGACUCCUAAUAAAACUAUUCGAACAGUCCUCUCCAUACCAGGUCCGGCACCUGUGGUUGUUAUUGCCGCUCCACAACAGUACAUGUUAAGUGGUCUAUCAAGACCUAAAAUAGUCCGAGUUUAGACACCUCCUUUUAAAGCAGUAUUUACACCUGGUAAAGGUUAGUAGAGAGCGUGAAGGACUAUUUCAAGCGGCUAAUAGGCAGGUCAAACCUCCCCAUUUUUCGCGUAUAUAUGGCCUUUCGUAGCAUUGUAGUGUUCAAGCUAGCGAAUAUAAAACCCCAAAGAUGUUCACACACGGAAGCUAAUACCUGACACCCGAAGAAGCAUAAGACUAAGAAGUAUAAACCCGACUACUUCUCUUGCUCUCAAAACUGGAGUGACCUUAGCCUCUCGAUAAAGACGACUUCAUAGAGCUCUAACUUACGUUAUAGUGACAGUUUGAAGGUCUCUUUCUGUAAUAAGGUACCGACGUUGUGAACCUCUGUGAGGUUCAUCUACGUUCUAAUAGACGACAAGGUAGUGUAUAAUAGUUAUACUUCUCUAAUGACGUGGAGGCAGAAGGUUCGCUCAUAUAAGACUCGUCAUGUCAACGAGUUUACUAUAGUGAAGCGUGUGACCCGAUAAAACUACAAUCGUCAGUGUGUCAUCCCCUACAAAAUCUAGACCCUCUCGACUGGUUAGAAGUCCUAGAAGUCGAGUGGACAAGAUACCAUGUAGGAUCUCUUUUAGAACUUUCUUUAGAAGUUACGGAUCCGAGCUAAGAACUCUUUGAUUCUCAGAACGUCAGUUAUUGAGACCAUGAUCAAAGAAGUCCGAGGAGAACACAUUUAUAAGAACUGUUUCCGAAGUCCUACCGCAGAGGAGGAUCGGGCCUGGACGGAGAAGCCUUCUAGCUCGACAGUACCGCAACAACGUAGAAGAAGUCGGACGGAUUCACCAAACCUCUUGACUCCUUGGAGACGUAAGAUUUCUAACGUUAAUCCUCUGACAGCUACUUACUGUGACUAUACGACUUUCCUGACGGAAGGGAGUGAAGAGAGUGGGAUAUAUAGGUCUAUCAAAGACUUCUUUUCUAGCAGUAGCUGCUACCCCCUAAGGUUCAUGAGUGGAUGAAGUUCAAGUACACAAGACGUGGUAUGGAUAGGAAAGAAGUUCCUCGUUACGGGUCUCAGGUCUUCGAGUUCUAUCCCAAGUUAAAAUUGGUUACCUCUAGUGUAAGGAAACCUUGUUAACCAAAGGGAGUGAACUGUCCGGACUGUCUCCAGAGGCAUUUUGAACCCCAAGCUUUACGACUACUUCUUAAACUGUUUUUUCGACGUGCCAGACACCUCCGACGGCAUUCCACAGUGGCCUUGUGAGAAUAUGAGUCUAAUGUUACGUACCUAUACUAAAAACUACCGUGACUCCUAUUCGAAUGGUGCCGGCUUCUUCUUCUCUUUUUUGCACUCCUCUAGGUCUUUCCGUUCUUUUUCUACUACCUUGCAAACCUCCCUAUAGACUUGUUCGUUAAUCACCUAUCGUCUAUACGCUCUUUUCUAGGUGACUGCGUAGUACGUGUUAGUAAGUUGCAGCACUGCCCGCGGUACUUGAGGGAGGAGGGGUUCGACGAACUGGAGGAGCUCCUGCUCACGUGCGACGUCUUCCCGUAGUUCUUCGAACAGCUGAGGGAGAUGUACCUUGACCUCCGAGACGUUCGACGAGAGGCACUCCACCGCUUCGACCUCCGAUUUGUUGAUCUACUCCACGAGUUAUGCACCCGGUCCCUACAUUCCCUGGAGAGCGUACUUCGACUCCUAUAGCAGCUAAGGAAUCGUCACGCGCAGCUCCCGAGACUAGGACUUUGUUAUGAUUUCCGGCCAUAACAACUAUAGGAAUCAGGAUCUUGGAGACGCAACGAGUCGUCUCCCUUCCGGGCGGUACUCUAGAGACUACGGUAGCUACUGUACUACAGUUUCCAGGUCCUAAACCGGCGGGCUGAACUCUCUAUGUUCCAGCCGCGGGUGUGGCGAGGAUUAGGUUUACGGCGUCAAUCGAAACUGUGAGGGAACAGCCUACACAUGUUUAUGGGGUUUCUAUACCAACGGUAUUUCCAAGGUUCCCUGCUCCACUAUUACUACGACUGUCUACCUUUACACUAGUUCUUCGACUUCUAUCAGAGAUAAGAACCUUACCCUCCUAACCCCUUCUGGUGAGAACAAUUUCGUCACAUACUGUUCUAAGCUGACGUCAUACUCAUGUGCCGAAAGCAAAGUCAUAGAUCCAUAGGACUAUACUGCUUUCAAAACUACCUCUAGGAAAAGGUUUAACUGUUCGUUUUGACAUCCUUAGAGUCAAACGGUUUUAAUCUACUAGUAAUGGAAUAACUACUUUAGUCCUCUGAUGAAGUCUUGUUCUCUAUGAACUAGCGAUAACUAUUAUAUACGCUACACUUAUAGACCCUUUAUUAGUUCGACCGAAAGCAACUAUUACCUAAACCUUCAUCUCAUCAGUGUUGAUGAGCCUAAGUGGACCACCGGUCCUUCCCUCCACUUCAAAUGGUCGAUUUUGUUGAAUGACUACUCGUUAGUUCUCUUAAUAAGUCACGUUCUGACAAGUUACCACUGUUUUUACAGGGAGUGUAGUAUCCCCUCCACGGUUGAUUCUAAAACAGCUUUACACUACCACAUGGUGACCGAUAGUAUUGUCGUCGAUCAAACAACCAGCCUUUUAGUUGCUUACUAACAAGGUUCCACAUGUUGUUAUAACUAAAGCCCAGACUCAAACUUCUGUUGUGUUCUUUCUAUGACUUUAGAUUGAUAAUGCUAGAAGGAAUAGUGAACUCCCGUACAAAUAACGUAGAUGUGUACAAAGUUCUCCUGACAUAUUAGUCCUUUCUUCGAAACUACACCUUUACCCGUCGGCUUCCAAAUUGACGUCUCCAUGGACCUUUUCCAAAUAAACUCGAACCUCUCCCUAUGAACUUCCUUGAGUAUUUGUCUUUGGACCAGUACGCCCAACUCCUGCUGAGUUUAGGACCCUUCCAUUAACCGACGACACAGGUACUAAACCAAGAGCUAUACUAGACAAGGAAUAGUUGACUUCUUUUGAAAUAAUGGUAUGACCUAUCAUUGUUCGUUCUUGGGGGACAGCUUUCGUUCUGAGCGUCCAAUCGACAGGUUUUUACCCUGUGCCUCGUCCCGCUGGGAGACCGAUUGUAAGCGGGUCUUUCCGACUCCAGUAAAUUGUGGUACCCCACAGUAAACUCAUACCUUGAUAGUCAAAGUUCCAAAUUCGACUACGCACAGGAACGAGACCUUCUUACAUGCAACAAACUACCUUUAGAAAGAGUAGAUCCCUUCAAUGAAGACAACUCCAUGGAGCCUAAUAUAUUCUGUGGAUAGUUUUUCGAUGGCCUUCUGUAUCCACUGGACUAAAUAGACGUCUGUGACCUGGACUCCCCUUGUUCACACUUUCUUAACGGUCUCUCUCACCGACCCAAUGCCGUUGAGUUCACGGACGCUCGACUAUUUCCGUGUCGUCACGGCCUAACCUACCUUUUAGAAUGUAGGAAUCUUCUCAACGCCGACCCGCUCCAGUCGUCCAGGCGUCUGAAGUGCUGACUCGACCCGUUUGACUGUCCCGACUCCCUUGAACUCUAAACCUAACUGCUCAACCUAUUCUUGGUUUUGUUACGAAACCACGACAGAUACUCUUUUGAUCUCUUUUAUGUUCAGGAUUCUUAAUACCCGUUAUCCACCUGUAGUCCCUCACUUGAAUUAACCCUUCUGAAGAUGGGUGGACAUGUUGAGGCACUCAAUGUGGAUAGUUCGUAGGGUACGGGAGCCGACGGGUUUGCCUAGUGGCAGAGGGCACAAGGUUACGAGAGAGUGAAUAGACACAUGCAUUUCCGGUAUUUCCUCCUCCUAGACCUAGAGGAACCCCGUAACGGUGUCGAGUAGUCAGACCUCGACGAUAGCGACACCCUGCGGCAGGCGCUUUAGUUCCCACCGCCACGCAAGGGUUCCAACUUCAAGAAAUUGUGCAAGAGUGGUAAGUUCAAAGAUGGUCCCCGAUACGGUUCUGAACGUUAGGAAGUGAAGCGUGAUGAGUAGUGAAGGGCCCCCGGUGAUCUAUUUAAGUUCCAAUUAAAACUUUUAAUGAAACAAUUGAGCUACAACCCCUUGGAGGAAAGUGAACUCUUUCACCUUCACUCUGGGGAACUACUGCAGCUCCACUACACACUUCGUCACUCCGCACCUGACCUGGUUGUAGGCUUGUCAGGUUCGGAAGUAUAGAAUUUUAUUACUAGCCCACUCAAGACACAUGACUUCCGAAGCUACAAUUGGUACAGUGGUCGAAGUCCUGGUGGACUAGGAGUAAGGAACUCGAAUCAAGAACGAACCUCCUUUUUGUUCUUUUUUUUUCCUUUUGUCAAUAAAUGAAUACCUGAAGCUCACGAUACAAUGGACAAAGGAUCGAGUUCCCUAUCCAGAAAUACAACGAAUGAAUAAAAGGUUUUAUUUUUCACGUUUUUUUUAAUCACACAGGAAAUCACCUUUUGAUACAAAUUUUACCUAGCUCAACGAGCAGAUCACCCUCAUCAGGGAACGGAAUAAUAAACCGGCUCAAUUUUUUGUCCUCUUUUUCGGAUGUUUUUUAUACAAGGAUCAACAAUAUGUUUACACAGAAAAAGAAAACCACCACAAGACCCAUACCCCACAACCAACCUUUGAGGCGGAUACGGUUAAGAUUCCGCUGUGUAUAACGGCGCAUCGGCCAAGGUUCGGGCCUCUUUCCUCCUCCUGGUCGGUACAUUAUCCAAUUCCUCCUUCCCUACAUGAAUACGUUACUAGUUUGGUAACAUGUGAUACACCACAUCGACGAGGUGUUAAACAAGGAUUGAUGAGCUACUCGAACUGUUAGACACCUUAAAUUUUAAAUAUCAAAUGAAGCUAGAUACUUACACCGGUAAGUAAGACCGUCGUAUUAGAGGCCUCCCUCAUGGCUGGUAACAAGUUCCGCCACACAUACGCCAACCUCGCCCAUCGGAGCUUCCAAAAAUCAGUUGUACUCACCGUCGUAUUAGAGGUAUAGCCAGGUGGUGGAGGAAGCUGUAUCCGUCUCAUAGCCAAAAUAUACUGAGAUGAAAACGACUAUACAGCCAAAAAGUAAAAUAAAACAGACAACUACAAAAACAACAGACGCAGAAUCAAUAUGUCUCUGGUCCACAACUAGUAGUACGAAACAUAGGUGAAUUACGAUGUAAACCUCAAUUAUUUUUCGUGAGAGAUAUUUUUUUACUUAAACGGUU